UAUGCAUUAAAAAUAGACUGAGAUUUCCUGAUGAGCCUGUCUAGGAGUGCUAUGGGAAUAGUGCGAACAGGUAUAGUACAUGUGGCAGAGCCAUCAUUUUGACAGUAUGAACACGUCCUAGCCAAGAGAUUUCUAAGUCUUGCCAUUGAUCUAAUUGUGUUUGCAGUUUAUGGGUGAGAGGGAGAUGGUUCUCCUGUGUAAGUUUAGAGUAUGAGUUGGUCAGGUUCUCUAGGUAUUUCAGGGACGUUUUUCUCCAGUCAAAGGGGUGUGUGGUGCACAGCGCUUGUCUGACAUUUUCAGGUAGGCCGAUUGGGAGCACCAGAGUUUAAUUAGUGUUGUUUUUGUAGUAGGAUAUGGUUCCAUAUUGUGUUAGCAGGGCUGGUAUUGAUUUGUCUGGUUGAGUUAGGAACAGCAGAAUAUCAUCCGCAAACAGCGCUAGCUUUUGUUGGCCCGCUGAGGUACUAAGCUAAGGCCAGCACAACCAGGGCCGGAUUAACAUAGGGGCUAAUGGAGCUGCAGCUCCAGGGCCAGGCCCAUAUAAAGGCCCAUUUAAAAAAAAAAAAAGAAACAUUAUCUUUUAGUUUUUUU